rnacentral:rRNA from 1 species
GCGUGGGAACGUACCCUUUGCUACGGAAUAGCUCCGGGAAACUGGUGGUAAUACCGUAUGUGCCCUUCGGGGGAAAGAUUUAUCGGCAAAGGAUCGGCCCGCGUUGGAUUAGCUAGUUGGUGGGGUAAUGGCCCACCAAGGCGACGAUCCAUAGCUGGUUUUGAGAGGAUGAUCAGCCACACUGGGACUGAGACACGGCCCAGACUCCUACGGGAGGCAGCAGUGGGGAAUCUUAGACAAUGGGGGAAACCCUGAUCUAGCCAUGCCGCGUGAGUGAUGAAGGCCUUAGGGUCGUAAAGC